rnacentral:rRNA from 2 species
UUCCGGUUGAUCCUGCCGGACCUGACUGCUAUCGGAUUGAUACUAAGCCAUGCGAGUCUUUGCAGUAAUGCAAGGCAUACGGCUCAGUAACACGUAGUCAACUUACCCUAUGGACGAGGAUAAUCUCGGGAAACUGAGCAUAAUACUCGAUAGAUCAUAAUGCCUGGAAUGGUUUAUGGUUAAAAUGAUUCGUCGCCAUAGGAUGGGACUGCGGCCUAUCAGCUUGUUGGUGAGGUAAUGGCCCACCAAGGCGAUUACAGGUACGGGCUCUGAGAGGAGAAGCCCGGAGAUGGGUACUGAGACAAGGACCCAGGCCCUAUGGGGCGCAGCAGGCGAGAAAACUUUGCAAUGUGCGAAAGCACGACAAGGUUAAUCCGAGUGAUUUCUGCUAAAGAAAUCUUUUGCAAGUCAUAAAACCACUAGUGAAUAAGGGGUGGGCAAGUUCUGGUGUCAGCCGCCGCGGUAAAACCAGCACCUCAAGUGGUCAGGAGGAUUAUUGGGCCUAAAGCAUCCGUAGCCGGCUCUGUAAGUUUUCGGUUAAAUCCAUGUGCUCAACACAUGGGCUGCCGAAAAUACUGCAUAGCUAGGGAGUGGGAGAGGUAGACGGUACUCGGUAGGAAGGGGUAAAAUCCUUUGAUCUAUCGAUGACCACCUGUGGCGAAGGCGGUCUACCAGAACACGUUCGACGGUGAGGGAUGAAAGCUGGGGGAGCAAACCGGAUUAGAUACCCGGGUAGUCCCAGCUGUAAACGAUGCAGACUCGAUGAUGCAUUGGCAUAUAGCCAGUGCAGUGUCGCAGGGAAGCCGUUAAGUCUGCCGCCUGGGAAGUACGUACGCAAGUAUGAAACUUAAAGGAAUUGGCGGGGGAGCACCACAAGGGGUGAAGCCUGCGGUUCAAUUGGAUUCAACGCCGGG